rnacentral:rRNA from 1 species
GACGAACGCUGGCGGCGUGCCUAAUACAUGCAAGUAGAACGCUGAAGGAGGAGCUUGCUUCUCUGGAUGAGUUGCGAACGGGUGAGUAACGCGUAGGUAACCUGCCUGGUAGCGGGGGAUAACUAUUGGAAACGAUAGCUAAUACCGCAUAAGAGUAGAUGUUGCAUGACAUUUGCUUAAAAGGUGCAAUUGCAUCACUACCAGAUGGACCUGCGUUGUAUUAGCUAGUUGGUGGGGUAACGGCUUACCAAGGCGACGAUACAUAGCCGACCUGAGAGGGUGAUCGGCCACACUGGGACUGAGACACGGCCCAGACUCCUACGGGAGGCAGCAGUAGGGAAUCUUCGGCAAUGGACGGAAGUCUGACCGAGCAACGCCGCGUGAGUGAAGAAGGCUUUCGGAUCGUAAAGCUCUGUUGUAAGAGAAGAACGAGUGUGAGAGUGGAAAGUUCACACUGUGACGGUAUCUUACCAGAAAGGGACGGCUAACUACGUG